rnacentral:miRNA from 1 species
CAUUGCACACAAUAGUGGGGC